rnacentral:rRNA from 1 species
CUCGGCUCUCGCAUCGAUGAAGAACGUAGCGAAAUGCGAUACUUGGUGUGAAUUGCAGAAUCCCGUGAACCAUCGAGUCUUUGAACGCAAGUUGCGCCCGAAGCCGUCAGGCCGAGGGCACGUCUGCCUGGGCGUCACGCAUCGCGUCGUCCCCCUACUCUAUGC